CCAAUGGCCCUUUUAAGGGCCACCAUAUUUUUGGGGGCCUCGAAAG
rfam:Folsomia candida strain VT population Fcan01_Sc003, whole genome shotgun sequence.